rnacentral:rRNA from 1 species
GACGAACGCUGGCGGCGUGCUUAACACAUGCAAGUCGAACGGAAAGGCCCUGCUUUUGUGGGGUGCCCGAGUGGCGAACGGGUGAGUAACACGUGAGUAACCUGCCCUUGACUUUGGGAUAACUUCAGGAAACCGGGGCUAAUACAGGAGAGGAGCUCCUGCUGCAUGGGGGGGGUCGGAAAGUUUCGGCGGAUGGGGAUGGACGGGCGGCUUAUCAGCUUGUUGGGGGGGUAGUGGCUUACCAAGGCUUUGGCGGGUAGCCGGCCUGGGAGGGUGACCGGCCACAUUGGGACUGAGGUACGGCCCAGUCUCCUACGGGGGGCAGCAGGGGGGAAUAUUGCACAAUGGGCGGAAGCCUGAUGCGGAAGCGCCGCGUGCGGGAUGACGGCCUUCGGGUUGUAAACCGCUUUCGCCUGUGACGAAGCGUGAGUGACGGUAAUGGGUAAAGAAGCACCGGCUAACUACGUG